rnacentral:rRNA from 1 species
CUUAAAUUGGUGAGCUAACCACAGCAAUGUGGAGGCAGCUAAUCACGGUUGUGUGAGUGACUGGGGUGAAGYCGUAACAAGGUAGCUGUAGGUGAACCUGCAGAAGGAUCA